rnacentral:rRNA from 1 species
UUAUAAGAGACAGCAGUCGCCACGGUAAUACGUAGGUGGCAAGCGUUGUCCGGAAUUAUUGGGCGUAAAGGGCUCGCAGGCGGUUUCUUAAGUCUGAUGUGAAAGCCCCCGGCUCAACCGGGGAGGGUCAUUGGAAACUGGGAAACUUGAGUGCAGAAGAGGAGAGUGGAAUUCCACGUGUAGCGGUGAAAUGCGUAGAGAUGUGGAGGAACACCAGUGGCGAAGGCGACUCUCUGGUCUGUAACUGACGCUGAGGAGCGAAAGCGUGGGGAGCGAACAGGAUUAGAUACCCGGGUAGUCCCUGUCUCUUAUAC